rnacentral:lncRNA from 1 species
CUAGAAAUGAGACCCCACGCCAGGCCUCAGACUUGGAAGAGGAGGACAGCUUGGGCCAGACCCCAGUGAGUGCCCAAGCCUUCUUGGAGGGACUUUUGGAGCUCCUAUUGCCUAGAGAGACAGUGGCUAGGGCACUGAGGCAUCUGGGGGCCCGAGGAGGAGGCAAAGGGAGCAGCAAGGGGCCUGGGUGACCCAGUUCCCCGCAGUGCCCGGACCGGCUCUCCGAAUUGGCCGACCAGAUGGUGGCCCAGGGAAACCUUGGCAUGUACCAGGAAACGAGGGAACAGUUGGCCAUGCGGCUGAAGGGUUUGGGGUGCCAGGCCCUAGGGACCCCACAAUCCCACACCCCCACACUCCCUAGACAUGUUCGCUGAGGAAGUGGCAGAGGGGGAACUGGAGACCCCAACCCCUACCCAGAGAGGAGAAGCAGAGUUGCCAGGAGAUGGUCUGGUGGAUGUGAUGUGGGAAUAUAAGUGGGAGAACCCGGGGGAUGCCGAGCUGCAUGGGCCCUUCACCAGCGACCAGAUGCAGACCUGGGUGAGCGAAGGCUACUUUCCUGAUGGUGUUUACUGCCGGAAGCUGGACCCCCUUCGUGGUCAGUUCUACAACUCCAAACGCAUUGACUUUGACCUCUACA